rnacentral:rRNA from 1 species
GACGAACGCUGGCGGCGUGCUUAACACAUGCAAGUCGAACGGAAAGGCCCCUUUGGGGGUACUCGAGUGGCGAACGGGAGUAACACGUGAGUAACCUGCCCUUGACUUCGGGAUAACUUCAGGAAACUGGGGCUAAUACCGGAUAGGAAUCCUUGCUGCAUGGUGGGGGUUGGAAAGCUUCGGCGGUUUUGGUUGGACUCGCGGCCUAUCAGCUUGUUGGUGGGGUAGUGGCUUACCAAGGCUUUGACGGGUAGCCGGCCUGGGAGGGCGACCGGCCACAUUGGGACUGAGAUACGGCCCAGACUCCUACGGGAGGCAGCAGUGGGGAAUAUUGCACAAUGGGCGGGAGGCUGAUGCAGCAACGCCGCGGGCGGGAGGACGGCCUUCGGGUUGGAAACCGCUUUCAGCAGGGGCGAAGCUUGUGGUGACGGUACCUGCAGAAGAAGCACCGGCUAACUACGUG